rnacentral:rRNA from 1 species
UCGAGCGGUAGAGAGAAGCUUGCUUCUCUUGAGAGCGGCGGACGGGUGAGUAAAGCCUAGGAAUCUGCCUGGUAGUGGGGGAUAACGUUCGGAAACGGACGCUAAUACCGCAUACGUCCUACGGGAGAAAGCAGGGGACCUUCGGGCCUUGCGCUAUCAGAUGAGCCUAGGUCGGAUUAGCUAGUUGGUGAGGUAAUGGCUCACCAAGGCGACGAUCCGUAACUGGUCUGAGAGGAUGAUCAGUCACACUGGAACUGAGACACGGUCCAGACUCCUACGGGAGGCAGCAGUGGGGAAUAUUGGACAAUGGGCGAAAGCCUGAUCCAGCCAUGCCGCGUGUGUGAAGAAGGUCUUCGGAUUGUAAAGCACUUUAAGUUGGGAGGAAGGGCAUUAACCUAAUACGUUAGUGUUUUGACGUUACCGACAGAGUAAGCACCGGCCAACUCUGUGCCAGCAGCCGCGGUAAU